CUCCGGGCCCGUGGCCGAGCAGCCGCCCUUGUCCGUGCUCUCGCCACUGUCUCUGACCCUGCCUCUGCCCCCUGUCCUGUGCCUGUCACCUGUCCCUAUCCCUUUCCCUGACCCUGCCUUGGCCGUGCCGCUGGGAGGCCGCUCACCGUCCUGCAGGCUGCCGUACGGCGCUGGAAAACUACACCGUGUCUGUUUGUGUGUGUGUGUGUUUGAAGGUGCUUUAGAUCCUGCUACAAAAAGCAAAAUACAGAAAGGAAAGACUGUGCAUUUUAUGAAGGGAGCACAGGAGACUUUCUGUUCCCAGAAUGCAAGCUGA
ensembl:lncRNA